rnacentral:rRNA from 1 species
UCUAGAUUAGAGUUUGAUCAUGGCUCAGAAUCAACGCUGGCGGCGUGCCUCAGACAUGCAAGUCGAACGCGAAAGUCCCCUUCGGGGGACAAGUAGAGUGGCGCACGGGUGAGUAACACGUAGGUAAUCUACCUUUGGAUGGGGAAUAACAACCGGAAACGGUUGCUAAUACCGCAUAAUGCAGCGGCACCUAAUGGUGACGGUUGUUAAAGCGGGGGAUCGAAAGACCUCGCGUCUGAAGAGGAGCCUGCGGCGGAUUAGCUAGUUGGUAGGGUAACGGCCUACCAAGGCUACGAUCCGUAGCCGGCCUGAGAGGGCGGUCGGCCACACUGACACUGACAUACGGGUCAGACUCCUACGGGAGGCAGCAGUCGGGAAUUUUGGGCAAUGGGCGAAAGCCUGACCCAGCAACGCCGCGUGAAGGAUGAAAUCCUUCGGGAUGUAAACUUCGCAAGAACGGGAAGAAUAAGUAGGGGACAAUACCCCCUAUGAUGACGGUACCGUUUGUAAGCUCCGGCUAACUCCGUGCCAGCAGCCGCGGUAAUACGGGGGGAGCAAGCGUUGUUCGGAUUUACUGGGCGUAAAGGGCGCGUAGGCGGCCUCCGCAAGUCAAUUGUGAAAUCUCCGGGCUUAACUCGGAAAGGUCAACUGAUACUGCGGGGCUAGAGUGCGGAAGGGGCAACUGGAAUUCUUGGUGUAGCGGUGAAAUGCGUAGAUAUCAAGAGGAACACCUGCGGCGAAGGCGGGUUGCUGGGCCGACACUGACGCUGAGGCGCGAAAGCUAGGGGAGCGAACGGGAUUAGAUACCCCGGUAGUCCUAGCCUUAAACGAUGAAUGCUUGGUGUCUGGGGUUAUAUAGUCCCCGGGUGCCGUCGCUAACGCUUUAAGCAUUCCGCCUGGGGAGUACGGUCGCAAGACUGAACUCAAAGGAAUUGACGGGG